UUUCAGCGUGUCUUUCUAUUUGGAGUCGAAAGGUUUCAGCAGCUGAAAAAUGAAGAUGACAGCUAAGUACAGUGGAUAUUGAAGAAAACUGAAGAGCAUUAUUUGUGAAGUAAGGCAUUGCUCAACGCGUGAAAAAUGGCCCAGGUAUUAUUCAGAGUCCGAGAUAAAUUCUCAUGUCUCUGAAAAACACUCAUCAUCAUCCUCGUACGGAGUUUAAACGCUUUGACCUCUUUGCGCUCUACGCUGGUAAACGUGACGGAGCAGAAAGUGGUAUAUUCUCAACAGCCUCUUCUAACAGCUGUCCAGGAAGGAUGAUGGAGGGCGAACUUGGAACUGCUGAAACAACCUGCCCUGCUAUAUUAGCUCAGAGAAUAGCACACCGCUGCCAACAGCAAAACUGAAGUUAUUUCAGAUCUUUCAUCAUUUCUAGACUCAGGAGAAAAUUUUAAAAGAAGGUAAUGUUUGUCCUUUAUAUUUGUUUAUUGCUACGCUAAUGAAAGGAGAGAGUAUUACAUGUAACCUUUUGUAAGAGAGAGGAAAAGAAAAAUAAAAGCUUUUAUCUGAGCCUCAAAUACUUAGUGUAUAUCUAGCAUUGCACUAAAUAGGAUUUUAUGGUUUCUAGGAAGUGCCAAGUUGUAAUUCCUAUCCAGCAGUAACAGGGAAUAUUUC